AUUUAUAUAGUUUAAAUAAUAAAACAUUACAUUUUCAUUGUAAAAUUAAAAAAUUAAAUUUUUUAUAAAUU
rnacentral:tRNA from 1 species